UUCACGUGUAGGUUUUGGUGGAGGGUGCUCACAAACAGAGGAAGGAGAAAAAGUGGAUCCAGGAUAAAGUAAACAGUGUGAGAAGGCAACAAAGGUGUAAGACAAAGGAGCUGUUUGAGGACUGCAAGAAGGAAUGUGGCUCAAUAGAACAAUAUGUUCAUGGAGAAGAGUGAGACAGGAUGCUAAGGAAGUGUGUUGAGGCAACAAUUUUUCUACUUAAAGAAGGACUAUCAGCCAUGAAUAGAUCUAAGCUGAAGUGGAAAAAAAAGUGAUCUGAAUAUGUAAAGUCAC
rnacentral:lncRNA from 1 species